rnacentral:rRNA from 1 species
GACGAACGCUGGCGGCGUGCCUAAUACAUGCAAGUAGAGCGCUGAAGGAAGGAGCUUGCUCUUUCUGGAUGAGUUGCGAACGGGUGAGUAACGCGUAGGUAACCUGCCUGGUAGCGGGGGAUAACUAUGGGAAACGAUAGCUAAUACCGCAUAACAUUGAUUAUUGCAUGAUAGUCAAUUAAAAGGUGCAACUGCACCACUACCAGAUGGACCUGCGUUGUCUUAGCUAGUUGGUGGGGGAAAGGGCUACCAAGGCGACGAUACAUAGCCCACCUGAGAGGGGUAUCGGCCACACUGGGAACUGGACACGGCCCAGACCUCUACGGGAGGCAGCAGUAGGGAAUCUUCGGCAAUUGACGGAAGUCUGACCGAGCAACGCCGCGGGAGUGAAAAAAGUUUUCGGAUCGUAAAGCUCUUGUGUAAGGGAAGAACGAAAUGUGGAGUGGAAAGUGCACACUGUGACGGUAUCUAACCAGAAAGGCACGGCUAACUACGUG